UACGUAGGGGGCAAGCGUUUGUCCGGAAUCAUUGGGCGUAAAGAGCGUGUAGGCGGCUCGAUAAGUCCGUUCUGAAAGUCCAGGGCUCAACCCUGGGAUGCGGAUGGAUACUGUCGGGCUCGAGUCCGGAAGAGGCGAGUGGAAUUCCCGGUGUAGCGGUGAAAUGCGCAGAUAUCGGGAGGAACACCAAUGGCGAAGGCAGCUCGCUGGGACGUGACUGACGCUGAGACGCGAAAGCGUGGGGAGCGAACAGG
rnacentral:rRNA from 1 species